rnacentral:rRNA from 1 species
UACAGAGGUCUCAAGCGUUGUUCGGAUUCAUUGGGCGUAAAGGGUGUGUAGGUGGCGCGCUAAGUCGGGUGUGAAAUUUCGGAGCUUAACUCCGAAACUGCAUUCGAUACUGGCGUGCUUGAGGACUGGAGAGGAGACUGGAAUUCAUGGUGUAGCAGUGAAAUGCGUAGAGAUCAUGAGGAACACCCGUGGCGAAGGCGGCCCACUGGGCCGGAACUGACGCUGAGGCGCGAAGGCGUGGGGAGCGAACGGG